rnacentral:rRNA from 1 species
ACUAAGUCGUAACAAGGUAGCCGUAGGGGAACCUGCGGCUGGAUCACCUCCUUUCUAAGGGAUAAUUU